rnacentral:rRNA from 1 species
UACGUAGGUCCCGAGCGUUGUCCGGAGUUAUUGGGCGUAAAGCGAGCGCAGGUGGUUUAUUAAGUCUGGUGUAAAAGGCAGUGGCUCAACCAUUGUAUGCAUUGGAAACUGGUAGACUUGAGUGCAGGAGAGGAGAGUGGAAUUCCAUGUGUAGCGGUGAAAUGCGUAGAUAUAUGGAGGAACACCGGUGGCGAAAGCGGCUUUCUGGCCUGUAACUGACACUGAGGCUCGAAAGCGUGGGGAGCAAACAGG